CAAAAAGUAGCUUAAUCAAAGCAUUCAUCUUACAAUUGAAAAAUGUUAGAAUCCUAACCUUUUUGA
rnacentral:tRNA from 2 species